UGUGUGUGUUCAAGUUUGUUAAAUUGUUAAAUUUUAUUAGUUGUGUUCUUACUGUUGAAGACUUUUCAGUCCCAGUUACACCUGUAUCAGUGAAGUAAAAUAUUUCAGAGCUGAAGGGACCUAAGUGGGUGUCCCCAACUAUGAGUGUCCUUGUCUCCCAUUCCUUUGUUUCAGCCUGUAGAAGCCUGAGUCUGUCACUGGAGAAUCAUCCAGCCUUCCAUUGGAGGCCUCCACAGCACGGGUUCGCAGUUAGAGGUCGGUAGCAGUUUAAAAAUUAUUGUAAAACAUCGCCUGGAUGAUAUAUAGUCUAGGUCAGAUUAGCAAUCAUAUCCGAUGUUUAAAACACACCCUGAAUUGUGACCCUGUUUCACUAGGGAAUUGCACCCAAUGGAGAAGAAUUGGAGCAAUAAUUACUUUCUUCUUGGGAAAAAAAAUAUGUUUCUAAAGAAAGCGUUGGAAUCAAGGACGAGUUAGGUAAUGUGUAUUAAAAAGGCCAGCAAGUCGCUGUCGUUGAAACCCAAUCACAGUUCGUAGUUCAAGGCAAACUGCUUUUAAUUGACAUGGUGUAUAUUCGCCUGCUCCUCUCAGGGUUGCCCGGGCAGAGACGCCCCAAGAGUAUUUAUUUCUAGGGUGGAAACAAAACAACCACCCCCGUCUACCGCGUUAAGAGAGCGCUCCAAGAUGGACUGCCGGAGAAAGGCUUUUUGACCCGGGUGGAAAUUAGUCAUAUUGACAGACGCGCAGGAAAGCCCAGAGCUGGCCAGAGUAGCUCUUCCGGAGAAGGACCGAAGGGCCGGGAAAAGGGAAGAAUCUCCAUCUCCGUUGCUUCUGCAGAGCAAAGGGUGCUUGGCUCCUGCAGACUCCCUCCCAUUCUCUACCGGCACCGACCUCAACGACGACACGACCUGGAUGAAUGGAGUAUCCGGAGAAGGUUUUUGAAGACGUUUAGGAGGAAGGGUGAGUUUUCUGUUGAGAAACUCAAUCUGCCAUACAGUAGCGGGCCCCAUCUGGGAUCUGUCACUGCUGACAGCACCACAGGGCACAGCCGUGAUCUUCUGCACAGCCUGCACUCCUCGAAAUACCCUCCUUAAUCAAAGGAUGUCUGCGCGCCGGCGCUCAGCUGACCGCGCCAAAGCAGAGAGGCCUAAGAGUUCCACCCCUCCCGCCCCCUCCCCAGGCUCACAACCUCCCCCAACCCUGUCUUUCCAGAGCAUUAAUUAAAAGCGGAAAAAAGA